UAGGGUUGAGGGGGUAGGGACAACUGUUCCUGGCUCAGGCCAGGGCCCUUCCAAGACCUCAGUUUUCUUGCUAAAGAAACGUUUUUCCAGUCUUCUGGGACAUACUGCCUAAAGAUUAAGGAAGAGUCAGCUUGAGGUGCAAUCCCGGCCAGGAUCUGUGUCUACAGAUCUAUUAAGUCUCCUGGAAUCUGCAUUUCUCACUCUCAUGCUGGAGUCCCAUGCUGAAGGAUAUCACUUAGAGAACAGCCGUGUUUAGCACGUUGGAACUUCUGGUGGUCAGGAACCCGAGGACUCCAGGCAAAUCACACGUAUGCCCUAUGGUUCGGUCUUUCUGUUCUCUCCAAAGGAUAUGACAUACUAAAGCCUUACCAGGAGGUUACAAGCCUCUCCGGGAUCAAUAAAUGUCCAAGUGUCUUGAAA